ensembl:snRNA U6 U6 spliceosomal RNA
GUGCUCACUUGGGCAGCACAUAUACUAAACUGGAACGAUACAAAGAUUAGCAUGGUCCCUGCACAAGAUGACAUGCAAAUUCAUGAAGCCAUCUACAUUUUU